GCUACUUCAAAAAGUUUCAAAAAGUUGAUGCAGGAGGUGAGAAGACGACGACAGCGCCAGCGGUUUCCAGAAGUUGAUGCUGGUGAAAAGUGGAUGACAGCGUCCUGCCUAAUCAAUCCGAUUGUUUCCUGCACAAUAACUAUGUGUUACUGAUUUCGCGCACUUUUUGGUCCUUUUCGAUGCUGAUGUGAAGGAGUGGUGUCGUCGUGCCUGAUCAAUCCAGCUUUUCUUUAAAAUAACCGGUGACUGACAUUACCUCACAUCGGUAAAGAACAGCUCUUAAGGGAUUGCCAAUUUUUCUGCGUGAGAAGCCAGCAUGUUUACUCAAGAUGUGCCUGGAUACUGAUCCUGUGGACCACUGCACCAAAGGUGUAAAGAUUGGAAUUCUUACUGUGGUCAAAGAUGAUGUUGCUGCCGUCACAUCACUGCCAAAUGUGAUCAACCUGGCCAUAAUCCUGGAAGAGGCCAUUGUGCUUGAUGACAUUCCAGAUCUGCCAGCAGCAUUCGCAUACUUGUUUGGUCUCAUGUAUGCACUCAACAUGGAGUAUCCAAAAGAACUUAAGUAUACUUUUGAAGUAAUACAAAAAAUCUUCAUGGAUCUUGGUGGCAUCUGCUCUGCAAGAGUGCAGUCAUUGAAGUCUAAACUUUGCUAAAUGGACAAAUGCAUCUGAAUGACGUUCUUCCAGUGGCCAUUGUUUAUUUUAUACUUUCAUAGUUAAUGACUAAAAAACAAUACUGUUUUCUUUCAAUGCAUUCAUUAAUGUUAAGUAUUCACUUGUUACAAC